GAACUGUCCUCCCGGAGCCCCCAGCAACUGGGCAACGACAGUUGGGGGGUCUCCCCGCCUGUGGCGCUCUCCACCUGGGACGUGGCCGGUGAGGGCGGCGGCCGGCCUCGGGCCCCCAGGGGCUCGCCACGCAGCGCGUACGAGGAGGCGGACGGCCCAAAGGGAAGGGCCCGGCGGCCUGGGCCCAGCACGAAGGCCCCGAACCUCAGUCUGGAAAGGCAGGACCCGAGGUGCAAGGACAGAGGUCCCAGGCCACGUCGUGAAAGUCCUGAAUGAAUCAACUUAAUGUUCGUUUGGCCGGUUUCCGAGGGCGCAGUGGUUGACGCCGAAGACCCUCCUUCCUCUUCCGGAAGCAGCACCAGGGGGACCCCAGGCUGAAGGGUAUGGGCCUGGGGGUGAAGAUCAGGGGCCCAGGUGGACCCAGCGCAUUACAGCUUCGGGGAGUUUCACGUGGGGCCUGUGAAUGGUGACCACCCCCACCCCAGUGGGAGACUCCACAUUUUUCCUGAUGUUACUUGUAUCUUUUUUUUUAAGU